rnacentral:snRNA from 1 species
GUGCUCGCUUCGACAGCACGUGUACUAAAAUUGGAACGAUACAGAGAAGAUUAGCAUGGUCCCUGCACAAGGAUGACACACAAAUUCAUGAAGCGUUCCAUAUUUUG